rnacentral:sRNA from 1 species
CGCUAACUACUGCCGAACCUCACAAUGGUGAGCACGGGGGAACUAAAGGCGUCCAUACGGACUUGGGGUGAAUCACGAUUGUGACGGGUGGUCCUUUGUACCCGAACCCGACAAACUCGUCGCAAACGACGGUGGUUCG